GAUGAACGCUAGCGGCAGGCCUAAUACAUGCAAGUCGAGGGGCAGCACGAUCUUCGGAUUGGUGGCGACCGGCGAACGGGUGCGUAACGCGUAUGCAACCUACCUACAACUGGGGAAUAGCCCGUGGAAACAUGGAUUAAUGUCCCAUAAUACAGGGGGCCCGCAUGGGUCUAUUUGUUAAAGAUUUAUUGGUUGUAGAUGGGCAUGCGUCUGAUUAGUUAGUUGGUGAGGUAACGGCUCACCAAGACGACGAUCAGUAGGGGUUCUGAGAGGAUGAUCCCCCACACUGGCACUGAGAUACGGGCCAGACUCCUACGGGAGGCAGCAGUAGGGAAUAUUGGUCAAUGGGCGAGAGCCUGAACCAGCCAUGCCGCGUGCAGGAAGACGGCCUUCUGGGUUGUAAACUGCUUUUAUCAAGGAAGAAAAAGGCCCUGCGGGGCAAAUUGACUGUAUUUGAUGAGUAAGCACCGGCUAACUACGUGCCAGCAGCCGCGGUAAUACGUAGGGUGCAAGCGUUGUCCGGAUUUAUUGGGUUUAAAGGGUGCGUAGGCGGCCGUAUAAGUCAGUGGUGAAAUCCUGCAGCUUAACUGUAGAUGUGCCAUUGAUACUG
rnacentral:rRNA from 1 species